UACGGAGGAUCCGAGCGUUAUCCGGAUUUAUUGGGUUUAAAGGGUGCGUAGGCGGCCUGUUAAGUCAGGGGUGAAAGACGGUAGCUCAACUAUCGCAGUGCCCUGGAUACUGAUGGGCUUGAAUGUACUAGAGGUAGGCGGAAUGUGACAAGUAGCGGUGAAAUGCAUAGAUAUGUCACAGAACACCAAUUGCGAAGGCAGCUUACUAUGGUAUUAUUGACGCUGAGGCACGAAAGCGUGGGGAUCAAACAGG
rnacentral:rRNA from 1 species